rnacentral:lncRNA from 1 species
CGCAGACCCCGCCUCCCCACCGGAGAGGGCGGAUCUCAGAGGUGUGGACAAGCAGCCUACUAGGGCUAGAGAUGGAUAGCAGAAAACUGUCCCCCCAGGGGAAGAAGCUGGAGUCGCACCUCUCCCAAGAGCACAGGCGGCCCCCACUGGGCCUGACAGCAGCCUGGGGCCAGCCCAGUAUCCAGAGCAGCGUUCAGCAGGGACUGCAGACUCAGGACUGGGUAAGCGGAAGGAAACCCUGGCCGAGGCUACUCUCCUGUCCCCAGCCCGCCUGAGGCCGCUGUCUCUGAAAACUCCAGGCUGGUCGUGAUGGGAGUGGGACUGAUGAGAAACAGAUGGCUGGACUCAGGAGGCUCUCUUCCCCAUGGCCCUGGACGAGCACCAAGGUGGACCUGCACCCUUCUUGCCUCCAGAACCGUGGGCCACCGGCCUCUGCUGGGCUCUGUAGAGAGGUCUUCCAAGGCCAGGAAGGAGGCAACGCAGCACACUUCCCUUAGCCCUCCCCAGUGCUCCCACCCCGGGCUGAAGGUGGCAAGAAGCAGGAGGGAAAGCAAGGUCCCCGGGGGGGUGGUGUCCUCCCAACCAGGUGGGGCAGCUGUCAGGAGAAGGAUUUGUCACUGAAAGUUGACCAAAACAAAAUGGUGGGAGAGGCUCUGCUGCGAUUCCCCAAACUGGAAGCAUCUCCUGGUCUCUCUACUGCUGGACAGUGAGCUACAGGCUUGUGUCAGGCCCAGUAGUGAGAAUGGUGGGAUAUAGCUGUUCAGCCUUAGGACGUUCUCUGAGGGCAGAGGAAGCCAGAACCCCACUUGUGUGGUUCCACUUUUGGCAGGUUCAAAGCCAGGCUCAGAGAUGGCUCUAGGCUGUGGCGAGAUGGGUGCAGGGGCUCCUGGGCACUGGCAAUGCUUUGGCAGCUGGCGCUGGUCAUGCGGCCAGUUCAGUGUGGGGAGCUC